rnacentral:lncRNA from 1 species
CUUUGUAGGUAAAUAUAGCCUAAGCGAAAGUGAGUGAAGGUUGCCAGCUGCUGAAAAUGGAACUAACUAGCAAUCAGCAGCCAACAUCUGCUCCUCAUUUCUCCAUGGCUUCCUGGCUCAAUCAAAAAGAAUACGUGUAAUCUUUGAAGAAAUUCCUGGAGAAGUUAGAAAAAAAUCACUGGAGAAUCUUCACCUUACUGGGAGAAGCUCAAAGUCCCAAUCAACCCAGAUCGAGACUCUGGUGACACAACGUGAAAGCCCGCUCGGCUCGGGAAAUCCUGCCACCAGCACCUGUCUCAUUAACGCCUCCUGGAGCCGGGACAUCUCAGAAUAGGGCCCAAUACAGGUGUACUGUAGCCAGCAGCAGGUGAGGCUUCCUGGAGGACAGACAAGGCCUGAACACGGAGUGUAGACGUUCCGGGCAGGCGAGAGCCUACACGAGCAUCACAGGUCCCCCAGACCGGCGCGGACUGCGCUUAGGACUUUUGCGUCAAGUGAAUCCCCCGGGCUUCGCCGGGCUAUGGCGACCCUCAGGAGGCCAGAAAGGUAAGAGCCUGCGAGGCUGAGAGUCCACACCCGGAGAGCACGGGUCGCUCCGAGGGCGCCCCGACUCGCGAGCGGUGGGAG